UUAUGCGGUCUGACCGAUAAAGAUCUUCGUAGAAUAUGUAGGAGCCAAUAUGGGCAUCCAGGUCCCGCUAUUGGUUAUUGACCGGAGACGUGUCUCGGUCAUGUCUACAUUGUUCUCGAACCGUAGGGUCCGCACGCUUAAGGUUUCGAUGACGGUUAUAUUAUGGGUUUGUGUAUUUUGAUGUACCGAAGAAGUUCGGAGUCCCGGAUGUGAUCACGGACAUGACGAGGAGUCUCAAAAUGGUCGAGACAUAAAGAUUGAUAUAUUGGACGGCUAUAUUCGGACACCGGAAAGGUUCCGGAAGUUUCCGGAGAAAACCGGAGUGCCGGAGGGGUUACCGGAACCCCCCGGGGAAGUAAUGGGCCUUAUUGGGACGAGAGGGGAGAGAGAGGGCCGCAGCAGGAGGUGGAGCGCGCCCCCCCCAGGGGAGUCCGAAUAGGACAAGGAGGGGGGGGGGGGCGCGGCCCCCCUUUCCCUCUCCCUCUCCCUCUCCUUCCUUCCCCCUUCCUCCUUCCUAGUUGGACUAGGAAAGGGGAGUCCUACUCCCACUAGGAGGAGGACUCCCCCCUCCCUUGGCGUGCCCCUAGGCCGGCCGGCCCUCCCCCUUGCUCCUUUAUAUACGGGGGCAGGGGGCACCCUAGGACACACAAGUUGAUCCUUGAGAUCGUUCCUUAGCCGUGUGCGGUGCCCCCCUCCACCAUAAUCCACGUCGGUCAUAUCAUUGCGGUGCUUAGGCGAAGCCCUGCGUCGGUAGAACAUCAAGAUCGUCACCACGCCGUCGUGCUGACGGAACUCUCUCUCCCCGGAGCUUUGCUGGAUCGGAGCCCGAGGAGCGUCACCGAGCUGUACGUGUGUCAGUAACUCGGAGGCGCCGGAGUAACGGCAUUGGGAUCGGUUGGAUCGCGAGGAGAACGUACGACUACUUCCUCUACGUUGUGAUCGCUCCCGCUUCGGUCUACGAGGGUACGUAGACAACACUCUCCCUUCUCGUUGCUAUGCAUCACCAUGAUCUUGCGUGUGCGUAGGAAAUUUUUUGAAAUUACUACAUUCCCCAAUAGUGGCAUCAGAGCCAGGUUUUAUGCGUUGAUGUUAUAUGCACGAGUAGAACACAAGUGAGUUGUGGACGAUAUAAGUCAUACUUCCUACCAGCAUGUCAUACUUUGGUUCAGCGGUAUUGUGAGAUGAAGCGGCCCGGACCGACAUUACGCGUACGCUUACGCGAGACUGGUUUCACCGCUACGAGCACUCGUUGCUUAAAGGUGACUGGCGGGUGUCUGUCUCUCUCACUUUAGUUGAAUCGAGUGUGGCUACGCCCGGUCCUUGUGAAGGUUAAAAUGGAGUCUAUUUGACAAACUAUCGUUGUGGUUUUGAUGCGUAGGUAAGAACGGUUCUUGCUAAAGCCCGUAGCAGCCACGUAAAAUUUGCAACAACAAAGUAGAGGACGUCUAACUUGUUUUUGCAGGGCAUGUUGUGAUGUGAUAUGGUCAAGACGUGAUGCUAUAUUUUAUUGUAUGAGAUGAUCAUGUUUUGUAACCGAAGUUAUCGGCAACUGGCUGGAGCCAUAUGGUUGUCGCUUUAUUGUAUGAAAUGCAAACGCCCUGUAAUUGCUUUACUUUAUCACUAAGCGGUAGCGAUAGUCGUAGAAGCAAUAGAUGGCGUAAACGACAACGAUGCUACGAUGGAGAUCAAGGUGUCGCGCCGGUGACGAUGGUGAUCACGACGGUGCUUCGGAGAUGGAGAUCACAAGCACAAGAUGAUGAUGGCCAUAUCAUAUCACUUAUAUUGAUUGCAUGUGAUGUUUAUCCUUUAUGCAUCUUAUCUUGCUUUGAUUGACGGUAGCAUUUUAAGAUGAUCUCUCACUAAAAUUAUCAAGUAGUGUUCUCCCUGAGUAUGCACCGUUGCCAAAGUUCGUCAUGCCGAGACACCACGUGAUGAUCGGGUGUGAUAAGCUCUACGUCCACCUACAACGGGUGCAAGCCAGUUUUGCACACACGGAAUACUCAGGUUAUACUUGACGAGCCUAGCAUAUGCAGAUAUGGCCUCGGAACACGGAGACCGAAAGGUCGAGCGUGAAUCAUAUAGUAGAUAUGAUCAACAUAAGAUGUUCACCAUUGAAAACUACUCCAUCUCACGUGAUGAUCGGUUAUGGUUUAGUUGAUUUGGAUCACGUGAUCGCUUAGAUGACUAGAGAGAUGUCUGUCUAAGUGGGAGUUCUUAAGUAAUAUGAUUAAUUGAACUUAAAUUUAUCAUGAACUUAAAUUUAUCAUGAACUUAAAUUGACUAGAGAGAUGUCUGUCUAUGUUUGUUUGUAGAUAGAUGGCUCGUGCUGUUGUUCCGUUGAAUUUUAAUGCGUUCCUUGAGAAAGCAAAGUUGAAAGAUGAUGGUAGCAAUUACACGGACUGGGUCCGUAACCUGAGGAUUAUCCUCAUUGCUGCACAGAAGAGUUACGUCCUGGAUGCACCGCUGGGUGCCAGGCCUGCUGCUGAUGCAACUGACGACGUUAAGAACGUCUGGCAGAGCAAAGCUGAUGACUACUCUAUAGUUCAGUGUGCCAUGCUUUACGGCUUAGAACCGGGUCUUCAACGACGUUUUGAACGUCAUGGAGCAUAUGAGAUGUUCCAGGAGUUGAAGUUGAUAUUUCAACAGAAUGCCCGGAUUGAGAGAUAUGAAGUCUCCAAUAAGUUCUAUAGCUGCAAGAUGGAGGAGAAUGGGUCUGUCAGUGAGCACAUACUCAGAAUGUCUGGGUAUUACAAUCACUUGACUCAACUGGGAGUUAAUCUUCCGGAUGAUUGUGUCAUUGACAGAAUUCUUCAAUCACUGCCACCAAGCUACAAAGGCUUCGUGAUGAACUAUAAUAUGCAAGGGUUAGUAAAGACUAUGCCUGAGCUCUUCGCAAUGCUAAAGGCUGCGGAGGUAGAAAUCAAGAAGGAGCAUCAAGUGUUGAUGGUCAAUAAGACCACUAGUUUCAAGAAGAAAGGCAAAGGGAAGAAGAAGGGGAACUUCAAGAAGAACAGCAAACAAGUUGCUGCUCAGGAGAAGAAACCCAAGUCUGGACCUAAACCUGAAACUGAGUGCUUCUACUGCAAGCAGACUGGUCACUGGAAGCGGAACUGCCCCAAGUAUUUGGCGGAUAAGAAGGAUGGCAAGGUGAAGAAAGGUAUAUGUGAUAUACAUGUUAUUGAUGUGUACCUUACUAGAGCUCGCAGUAGCACCUGGGUAUUUGAUACUGGUUCUAUUGCUAAUAUUUGCAACUCGAAACAGGGACUACGGAUUAAGCGAACACUGGCAAAGGACGAGGUGACGAUGCGCGUGGGAAAUGGUUCCAAAGUCGAUGUGAUCGCGGUCGGCACGCUACCUCUACAUCUACCUUCGGGAUUAGUUUUAGACCUAAAUAAUUGUUAUUUGGUGCCGGCGUUGAGCAUGAACAUUAUAUCUGGAUCUUGUUUGAUGCGAGACGGUUAUUCAUUUAAAACAGAGAAUAAUGGUUGUUCUAUUUAUAUGAGUAAUAUCUUUUAUGGUCAUGCACCCUUGAAGAGUGGUCUAUUUUUAAUGAAUCUCGAUAGUAGUGAUACACAUAUUCAUAAUGUUGAAACCAAAAGAUGCAGAGUUGAUAAUGAUAGCGCAACUUAUUUGUGGCACUGCCGUUUAGGUCAUAUCGGUAUAAAGCGCAUGAAGAAACUCCAUACUGAUGGACUUUUGGAGUCACUUGAUUAUGAAUCACUUGGCACUUGCGAACCGUGCCUCAUGGGCAAGAUGACUAGAACCCCGUUCUCCGGUACUAUGGAGAGAGCAACAGAUUUGUUGGAAAUCAUACAUACAGAUGUAUGUGGUCCGAUGAAUGUUGAGGCUCGUGGCGGAUAUCGUUAUUUUCUCACCUUCACAGAUGAUUUAAGCAGAUAUGGGUAUAUCUACUUAAUGAAGCAUAAGUCUGAAACAUUUGAAAAGUUCAAAGAAUUUCAGAGUGAAGUUGGAAAUCAUCGUAAUAAGAAAAUAAAGUUUCUACGAUCUGAUCGUGGAGGCGAAUAUUUGAGUUACGAGUUUGGUCUACAUUUGAAACAAUGCGGAAUAAUUUCGCAACUCACGCCACCCGGAACACCACAGCGUAAUGGUGUGUCCGAACAUCGUAAUCGCACUUUACUAGAUAUGGUGCGAUCUAUGAUGUCUCUUACAGAUUUACCGCUAUCAUUUUGGGGUUAUGCUCUUGAGACGGCCGCAUUCACGCUGAAUAGAACACCGUCAAAGUCCGUUGAGACGACACCUUAUGAACUGUGGUUUGGUAAGAAACCAAAGUUGUCGUUUCUUAAAGUUUGGGGAUGCGAUGCUUAUGUGAAAAAGCUUCAACCUGAUAAGCUCGAACCCAAAUCGGAGAAAUGUGUCUUCAUAGGAUACCCAAAGGAAACAGUUGGGUACACCUUCUAUCACAGAUCCGAAGGCAAGACAUUUGUUGCUAAGAAUGGAUCCUUUCUAGAGAAGGAGUUUCUCUCGAAAGAAGUGAGUGGGAGGAAAGUAGAACUUGAUGAGGUAACUGUACCUUCUCCCUUAUUGGAAAGUAGUUUAUCGCAGAAACCGGUUUCUGAGACAUCUACACCAAAUAGUGAGGAAGUUGAUGAUGUUGAUCAUGAAACUUCAGAUCAAGUUACUACAGAACCUCGUAGAUCAACCAGAGUAAGAUCCGCACCAGAGUGGUACGGUAAUCCUGUUCUGGAAGUCAUGCUACUAGAUCAUGAUGAACCUACGAACUAUGAAGAAGCAAUGGUGAGCCCAGAUUCCGCAAAAUGGCUUGAGGCCAUGAAAUCUGAGAUGGGAUCCAUGUAUGAAAACAAAGUGUGGACUUUGGUUGACUUGCCCGAGGGUCGGCAAGCAAUAGAAAACAAGUGGAUCUUCAAGAAGAAGACUGACGCUGACGGUAAUAUUACUGUCUACAAAGCUCGACUUGUCACAAAGGGUUUUCGACAAGUUCAAGGGAUUGACUACGAUGAGACCUUCUCACCCGUAGCGAUGCUUAAGUCUGUCCGAAUCAUGUUAGCAAUUGCCGCAUUUUAUGAUUACGAAAUUUGGAAAAUGGAUGUAAAGACUGCAUUCCUGAAUGGAUUUCUGGAAGAAGAGUUGUAUAUGAUGCAACCAGAAGGUUUUAUCGAUCCAAAGGGAGCUAACAAAGUGUGCAAGCUGCAGCGAUCCAUUUAUGGACUGGUGCAAGCAUCUCGGAGUUGGAAUAAACGCUUUGAUAGUGUGAUCAAAGCAUUUGGGUUUAUACAGACUUUUGGAGAAGCCUGUAUUUACAAGAAAGUGAGUGGGAGCUCUGUAGCAUUUCUGAUAUUAUAUGUAGAUGACAUAUUACUAAUCGGAAAUGAUAUAGAAUUUCUGGAUAGCAUAAAGGGAUACUUGAAUAAGAGUUUUUCGAUGAAGGACCUCGGUGAAGCUGCUUACAUAUUGGGCAUCAAAAUCUAUAGAGAUAGAUCAAGACGCUUAAUUGGACUUUCACAAAGCACAUACCUUGACAAAAUUUUGAAGAAGUUCAAAAUGGAUCAAGCAAAGAAAGGGUUCUUGCCUGUGUUACAAGGUGUGAAGUUGAGUAAGACUCAAUGCCCGACCACCGCAGAAGAUAGAGAGAAAAUGAAAGAUGUUCCCUAUGCUUCAGCCAUAGGCUCUAUCAUGUAUGCAAUGCUGUGUACCAGACCUGAUGUGUGCCUUGCUAUAAGCUUAGCAGGGAGGUACCAAAGUAAUCCAGGAGUGGAUCACUGGACAGCGGUCAAGAACAUCCUGAAAUACCUGAAAAGGACUAAGGAUAUGUUUCUCGUAUAUGGAGGUGACAAAGAGCUCAUCGUAAAUGGUUACGUUGAUGCAAGCUUUGACACUGAUCCGGACGAUUCUAAAUCGCAAACCGGAUACGUAUUUACACUAAACGGAGGAGCUGUCAGUUGGUGCAGUUCUAAACAAAGCGUCGUAGCGGGAUCUACAAGUGAAGCGGAGUACAUAGCAGCUUCGGAAGCAGCUAAUGAAGGAGUCUGGAUGAAGGAGUUCAUAUCCGAUCUAGGUGUCAUACCUAGUGCAUCGGGUCCAAUGAAAAUCUUUUGUGACAAUACUGGAGCAAUUGCUUUAGCAAAGGAAUCCAGAUUUCAAAAGAGAACCAAACACAUCAAGAGACACUUCAAUUCCAUCCGGGACUUGGUCUAGGUGGGAGACAUAGAGAUUUGCAAGAUACAUACGGAUCUGAAUGUAGCAGACCCGUUGACUAAGCCUCUUCCACGAGCAAAACAUGAUCAGCACCAAGAUUCCAUGGGUGUUAGAAUCAUUACUAUGUAAUCUAGAUUAUUGACUCUAGUGCAAGUGGGAGACUGAAGGAAAUAUGCCCUAGAGGCAAUAAUAAAGUUAUUAUUUAUUUCCUUAUUUCAUGAUAAAUGUUUAUUAUUCAUGCUAGAAUUGUAUUAAUCGGAAACAUAAUACAUGUGUGAAUACAUAGACAAACAGAGUGUCACUAGUAUGCCUCUACUAGACUAGCUUGUUAAUCAAAGAUGGUUAAGUUUCCUAACCAUAGACAAAUGAGUUGUUAUUUGAUUAACAAGGUCACAUCAUUAGUUGAAUGAUCUGAUUGACAUGACCCAUUCCAUUAGCUUAGCACCCGAUCGUUUAGUAUGUUGCUAUUGCUUUUAUCCAUGACUUAUACAUGUUCCUAUAACUAUGAGAUUAUGCAACUCCCGUUUACCGGAGGAACACUUUGGGUACUACCAAACGUCACAACGUAACUGGGUGAUUAUAAAGGAGUACUACAGGUGUCUCCAAAGGCAGAUGUUGGGUUGGCGUAUUUCGAGAUUAGGAUUUGUCACUCCGAUUGUCGGAGAGGUAUCUCUGGGCCCUCUCGGUAAUACACAUCACUUAAGCCUUGCAAGCAUUACAACUAAUGAGUUAGCUGUGAGAUGAUGUAUUACGGAACGAGUAAAGAGACUUGCCGGUAACGAGAUUGAACUAGGUAUUGGAUACCGACGAUCGAAUCUCGGGCAAGUAACAUACCGAUGACAAAGGGAACAACGUAUGUUGUUAUGCGGUCUGACCGAUAAAGAUCUUCGUAGAAUAUGUAGGAGCCAAUAUGGGCAUCCAGGUCCCGCUAUUGGUUAUUGACCGGAGACGUGUCUCGGUCAUGUCUACAUUGUUCUCGAACCGUAGGGUCCGCACGCUUAAGGUUUCGAUGACGGUUAUAUUAUGAGUUUGUGUAUUUUGAUGUACCGAAGAAGUUCGGAGUCCCGGAUGUGAUCACGGACAUGACGAGGAGUCUCGAAAUGGUCGAGACAUAAAGAUUGAUAUAUUGGAUGGCUAUAUUCGGACACCGGAAAGGUUCCGGAAGUUUCCGGAGAAAACCGGAGUGCUGGAGGGGUUACCGGAACCCCCCGGGGAAGUUAUGGGCCUUAUUGGGCCGAGAGGGGAGAGAGAGGGCCGCACCAGGAGGUGGCGCGUGCCCCCCCCAGGGGAGUCCGAAUAGGACAAGGAGGGGGGGGGGGCGGCCCCCCUUUGCCUCUCCCUCUCCCUCUCCUUCCUUCCCCCUUCCUCCUUCCUAGUUGGACUAGGAAAGGGGAGUCCUACUCCCACUAGGAGGAGGACUCCCCCCUCCCUUGGCGCGCCCCUAGGCCGGCCGGCCCUCCCCCUUGCUCCUUUAUAUACGGGGGCAGGGGGGCACCCUAGGACACACAAGUUGAUCCUUGAGAUCGUUCCUUAGCCGUGUGCGGUGCCCCCCUCCACCAUAAUCCACCUCGGUCAUAUCGUUGCGGUGCUUAGGCGAAGCCCUGCGUCGGUAGAACAUCAAGAUCGUCACCACGCCGUCGUGCUGACGGAACUCUCUCUCCCCGGAGCUUUGCUGGAUCGGAGCCCGAGGAGCGUCACCGAGCUGUACGUGUGUCAAGAACUCGGAGGCGCCGGAGU
rnacentral:lncRNA from 1 species